GUCCCUUCGGGUACAUUUGAUAAAAUUGGAACCAUAUAGAGAAGAUUAGCAUAGUCCCUGCGUAAGGAUGACAUCACAAAAUCUAAUGCCUCUUCCAAUGAU